GGGGAUGAUCGGUUUCGACGAUGUGAGUUGAGAUGGAUGAAGCGUGCCGAGGACGCAGGGUUAUCUCGUUAACGCCCUCUGCAAAAAAUAAGUGCAGAAUCUAAGCGCACUGACUUCGCACUCGCUGCCUAAUAAUCCCAGCGAUGCAGUCUGGUAGCCUGAGCUUGCCUUUGGCUCAGCCCCUACCAUCAGUUUAAAAGGCCACUGCUGCCCGUCCUUGUCGUAGGGCCGGGUGGGACUUUUAUACGGCUAGGUUAGGCCUUGUAAGUGUUUGCGCAAGCAAGGUAGCCGAAAAUACCGCUUUCACAAACUGCGCACGGAGAAGACCCGUUGACGCCACAUCGGACCGGGGUUCGAUUCCCCGCAUCUCCACAG
rnacentral:tmRNA from 1 species